rnacentral:rRNA from 1 species
AAGCACCGGCUAACUACGUGCCAGCAGCCGCGGUAAUACGUAGGGUGCAAGCGUUGUCCGGAAUUAUUGGGCGUAAAGAGCUCGUAGGCGGUCUGUCGCGUCUGCUGUGAAAACCUGGGGCUUAACUCCGGGCCUGCAGUGGGUACGGGCAGACUAGAGUGCGGUAGGGGAGACUGGAAUUCCUGGUGUAGCGGUGAAAUGCGCAGAUAUCAGGAGGAACACCGGUGGCGAAGGCGGGUCUCUGGGCCGUAACUGACGCUGAGGAGCGAAAGCAUGGGGAGCGAACAGAAUUAGAUACCCUGGUAGUCCAUGCCGUAAACGUUGGGCGCUAGGUGUGGGGCUCUUUCCACGAGUUCCGUGCCGCAGCAAACGCAUUAAGCGCCCCGCCUGGGGAGUACGGCCGCAAGGCUAAAACUCAAAGGAAUUGACGGGGGCCCGCACAAGCGGCGGAGCAUGCGGAUUAAUUCGAUGCAACGCGAAGAACCUUACCAAGGCUUGACAUACGUGGUUUACCCCUAGAGAUGGGGGGUCCGCAAGGGCUGCGUACAGGUGGUGCAUGGUUGUCGUCAGCUCGUGUCGUGAGAUGUUGGGUUAAGUCCCGCAACGAGCGCAACCCUCGU